UUAAGAACAAUGCUGAGUGUGUGCGG
rnacentral:piRNA from 3 species